GAAGGUACAUGAGCAGAUCCUCAGCAUUGAGAAAAGAUAUUCCCUUGGACUGCAGAUAACAAAGCAGAGGAAAAAAAGAUACUGUGAGUCUGAACAUGGGAAAUAUGAAGUAACACAUACACACACACAGAAGUAAGUAAGGUGUUAUUCUCUAUACAGCCGUUUUUAGCACUGAGGCUUUAUUACAAGAGAGAAGACAAAAGAUGCCCAAAUUCCUUAAGAGGUCAGCUGAUUCACGACCAAUCUCUAGGACUGCUCAAGAAAAUAAGGAAAACAUCUCUAAACAAAGAAAAUUCAGUGAAACCCAGCCUUGGACAUGCUAAAUAACAGCACUGCCUGGAGAUAAGAAGGUAUUGGGUAGAAAUGAGAAAGACCAUAAUUCCUAGGCUUUAUUUCCCCGGGGUCCCAAACUUUGAAGUGUACUUUAACUAAACCUCAGAUCGCUCUCAGAUGUUUUCUCUCAAGAAAGAGCACGGGUUAAAGGAGAAUGGGCAAACAUAAACAAGUUGUAUGUCACACAUAAAUAACAAGUGGCAGUCCUGAAGGAACGGCUGUGGAUUUCAAGAUGUGGGCUCAUGCAGGAUAUGAGUAAUUCCCAGAGACUUCCCACUAACUUUCAGUGGUCUCCCACUGACGUUACUGGUAUCCUGUGGCAAGAGAAUAGGACCAAUAUUUUUAGAAGUGUGUGCUGGCUGUUCUCUGGAGUCCUUGCAGUGCCGGGGUAUUUUUAGUGGUUCAUUAUAUGGAUUGGAGGAGUCUUUGCGUUGUGUUGUGUCACACGCAGCGUGUGAACUUCCUGUCCCUGCUCCUCUGUGCCUUUGAUCCUGCCCAUCCAGCCACCACAGCAGGAGAGCUGACACAUCAGCCAUGGCCAUUUCUUCGUUACUAGGACUUCCAGCUAUGUGGAAAGCUCUCACCAGAGCAGCAGAGCUGCCCAUGGGAAUGUGCCAUGGUUUAUGGCAACAGGAGCCAUCAAAGUGGUCAUCACUUUGGCUUGGAACACUCAUAGCUGGAAGGAGGUAUUUGCUUGCUUUCUCAGUUGCUUUCUGUUUUAUUAAAUGAACCCAAAUACCAGGAAAAUUACCUGUAUAUUGGUACCUAUCUAGGAAGAAUAAAUAAUCAAAGGGAGUUGUAUAAUAAAGUCUG
ensembl:lncRNA